UCACUCGGCUCGUGUGUCGAUGAAGAGCGCAGCCAACUGUGUGAAUUAAUGUGAACUGCAUACUGCUUUGAACAUCGACAUCUUGAACGCAUAUUGCGGCCACGGGUUAGCCCGUGGCCACGCCUGUCCGAGGGUCGGCUUAUAAACUAUCACGACGCCCUACAAGUCGUGGCUUGGGUCUUGCCAGCUGGCGUGAUUUCCCUAUACUUGGCUAUUUUGCUGGGUUCGGGUGCCAGAUCUAUGGCGUCUCCCUAAUGUAUCCGGGCACAUCCGCAUCUUUGUAUUAAAAGGGUGAGGGCGUGGCGACGGAGUCGUGGCUCAAUUGUAUAUAACACGCUCCGAAUCGUAGUGGUCCCAAUUCCUAUGAUGUGAUGUUGUCUGUCACCGAGUGCAGCCCCAAUGGGUGCAUUCUAUUCCUGACCUCGGAUCAGACGUGAGUACCCGCUGAACUUAAGCAUAUCACUAAGCGGAGGAAA
rnacentral:rRNA from 1 species